CUGACUUGUGUCCCAAGAUACCUCACAGGUAUUUUCGGGGCGGAACAGAUUGAUGGCCAUCGAACAUCAAAUCCUAGGACGCUGAUUGUUAUUUUGUGCCUAGUUGCAGCCGAAGCAUGUCAUCGGACGGUUGGGCAAACAUUCUUCGGACAGAAUUUCUCUGGAAGAAGAAGCGGAUGGUGUCCAACACCUGGUGGCAUUGACUCGGAGCCGAGGAUAGGGUAACCCGUCAAGGCGUCAAGGCGGCAAGAAUAGAGAAAGGGGGGUGACUAUUCCGUCGUCUUCUCUGGUCUCAGACUUAUGAAAAGACAGCUCUAAAUUGUGAUGGCGGUUGCCAUUGCCCGGGGAAUGCCUGAACGGUUUAUAGGCAUCAAAUCUUAUGAGCAGCAAUUUCGCGCAUCAGUGAGGAUUAUUAUCACACCAAGGACAAGAGCUAUUAUCAAGGCGUGUGUCUCUCACAGGAUAAGGAAGGGCCAGGCUUCACCUCACUCCCUCCGAGCGUUGUCGCCCGAUGCCCACCCCACAACUGGCAACACCUCCAGUGUGGGGCGUUGAGUGAUCGUGCUAAAUUAACGUUUGAUAGAUUAUUUGAUGGUUGAUGGCUGACCGAUCAUUAAUUUCCCGGCCAUCCGAAACGAAGGCAUGGCCGAGAAGGAACCCUGUGUCUGUUGGAAGAUGUUGCUUGCUGGUGCUAAUAACGCUUAGCUCCCUACCCAGCCAGAGUCAGAUAAUGGAAAGCAGUUCGGUACCGGGCCCCUGUCGAUCUAUAUACCUUUCCACCCUCCACAUAACACGCUCUGGAUGGUAUCUGAUGGGUACCCACCUCGCUAAUCAGUAAACACAUCAUCGACUACUUCAUUUGGCGUCAUAGCUAUCUCACACCGCAGCCCCAAACCAUCACUCUUACCCGAACACACAGUUGUCACGAUGUUAUACAAGAGUCACAAUCUCUGGCUUAUGGGGCCGACCGACGAUCUUUCAUUCCCCAUAUCCCGGUCAAACCAAACCAGCCUCCAUCUCCUCACACGUCCGCGAUUCACCUCCCGACUCCUGCAAAUCAACAAAACAUCCUUCGGCAUGCCUCUUCCCUCCAAAACUUGGAUACUGUGGGCUGGGACUAGAUUGGCAGCAAGUAGAGGAGUUCGCAGAUGAUAGCCCGUCUGCUAACCGAAGGACUUUUGCUUACAUGGUGUUCAAGAGCUAGGGGCAAUGGGGAAGAAGCUUCAUACGCCAGAGCUACUCACAUGCCAAUUCACAAGAAAUGACAAAAAGGAUGAAAUUGAGAUUAGUCGGAGUCAGGAUUGUGACUUUUAUUUUGGCUUCGACUUGCUGCUGCCUGUUAUUAAUUGCAGAGAUUUUUGCAAUGAACAGUCACCUUUCGUUGACAGGUUGAUGUUGGUGGGUACGCGUUGUUACUGUAUUUGCUGUAAGUCGAAAGCUUCCGCCCGCUUCCGGGAGGCGGAUUUGGAGAUAGAUAGAAG
rnacentral:sRNA from 1 species